UGAGGAAUAUUGGGCAAUGCCCGCAAGGGUGACCCAGCAACGCCGCGUGGAGGAUGAAUGUCGUAAGAUUGUAAACUCCUGUUAGAGGGGAAGAAUAGUACCGGUUGGACCGGUAUAUGACUGUACCCUCAGAGAAAGCCCCGGCUAACUACGUGCCAGCAGCCGCGGUAAUACGUAGGGGGCAAGCGUUGUCCGGAUUUACUGGUGUAAAGGGCGCGCAGGCGGGAUAAAAAGUCAGUGGUGAAAUCCUACAGCUUAACUGUAGAACUGCCUUUGAUACUUUUAUUCUUGAGUUCGGGAGAGAGAGACGGAAUUCCAGGUGUAGUGGUGAAAUACGUAGAUAUCUGGAAGAACACCAGUUGCGAAGGCGGUCUCUUGGUCCGACACUGACGCUGAGGCGCGAAAGCGUGGGGAGCAAACA
rnacentral:rRNA from 1 species